ACUACAUAGGAAGGGCGCGUGUUAGCGAAAAGGGUUUUGAGUGAAGACUGAUUAAAAGUAAGCCGUCAGACGAACCCGAUCCCUUCGGCGGAAACGCCGUUAUUCAUUAAAAAACUCAAUGAACUAAAACAUUUUACUAAUUGAAGGAAAAUAAACCAACCGGGAUUGCGUUAGUAACAGAGAGUGAAAAUGCAAAAGCUGCAAAAACGUGUAUCUUUGGUUGAACUUGUGUGGAACCAGGACCAAAGAGAGUGAUAGUCUCGUAAGCCAAACGGAUACAUUAAGUAAAAAUGCGACUAGCGAAUCUUUGCUAGUUAUACACGGGAACCACCCUGUUGGCUAAAUAGUCUAUGUAGAUUGAUAGUGAAUCAGUACUGUGAAGGAAUUAGGAAACAAGAACGCCAUCGCUUCUCUGAAUACAAAGCCUGAAACAUGUUGCUUAAAAUGACUUUCAGUUUGGUUUUUAUUAAAUAGAAAGGUUCCUUUUGAAUCAUGAGCUGAUGACUUUACGUUGAUUUAAGGUCUGAGUCCCUACCCUUGCGGUUUGUAAGGACUAAUAUAAUAUAUUAACUCAGGGCCAAAGACAGCUUAAUUUGCUAAAAGUAAGCUUACUAUGAAAAUAAAUAAUAUAGUAUUAACGUAAGACGCGAAACGAAGUGAGCUUAAGUAAACCAGGGGUAAAGCUACCGAAAGGUAGGUGGACGCCCGAAGUGCUGCGCGUUGCAACGCGCUCAUAUGAGUUUAUUUAAGUGGCGAAAUACUAAUCGAACUUCGAAAUAUCUCGUUUUUUGCGAAAUCUUUUUAGGAAGGGGGUCGGUUUAGAAAAUGCUAACUAGGUAAAGCGCUGUAAAGCCGAUGGGAAGGAAACUUUUACUGAGGUGUUGCAAACUUUAAAUUAAGGGUAUUUUACAAGGCACUCAGUCAAUGUGGGACAAGCUACAUAUGACGAAAAGGUAACAGCCUAGACUAUCAAUUAAGGCCUUUAAAUGGUAUUCAGUGAUAAAGUAGUCAGUUUUACAAAAAUUAGUAGGACGUUUGAUUAGCAGCAUCUAUCGUUUAAAGAAAGCGUAAUAGCUCACUACUAUAGUUUAAUUGUUUCAAAAAUGUAACGAGACUAAGUACCAUGCCGAAGUUAUAGCUUACAAUAAAAAGAGAUAGGAUAAAGUAAGAGUAGCAGAACGAACCAUAUAAAGACUGAAAAUGUGUCGGUAAGACAUAUUGGACAAAUUGGUUGUGAAUAUAUCAGCUAUAGUAGCAUUAAAAUUGAGUAAGAAUCUCGAUGAUCGUAAAUCCUGGGUUUUCUACACAACUCUUUAAGAUGUAGUCAAAAAGCGGUCCCUAAGUAAUUCCAAAUUAUGAUGGGUGUACCUUAUGCCGGACAUAGUCUUUUGACCUGUUACAGGAAAUAAUAAGGUACAAACAACCGUACUAAAACUGACUCUGGUGGAUAAGUAAAUUUUACUAAGAUUUGGUUAUAACCACUCGUAAGGAACUCGGCAAACUACGCUUUAAUUCUCGAAAACGGCGGUCUUCAAAAAAAAAUUGCAAGAUCUCAGAUAAUAUAAUUGGGCGACUGUUUACUAAAAACUUAGCGCCCUGCUAAUUUGAAAUAAGACGUAUAGGGGGUGACGUUUGCCAUAGGCUGCUAACUUAAGUAGCUUUCUGUAACAGGAAAGUCAAUAAGGUGCAGUGACUGGCGGCCGUAACUAUAACGGUCAUAAAGUAGCGAAAUUCCUAGGCAUUUAAUUGGUGUCCCGCAUGAAUAAUGUAACGACCUGAUUGCUGUCUCGCGAGUGGAAACCGUGAAAUAAGAAUAUCGGUUCAAAUACCGAUUAGGUUCUCUAAGACGAUAAGACCCUAUGAAGCUUUACUGUAACUUAACAUUGCGGCCGGUUUUUUGUUUUACAGUUAGGCGGGAGGAUUUCACAUCCGAUGCUGGAAAACCGCUAAAUAAUUAAUUGGCCGCUUUAUCAAAGCAAAAAGAGACAGUGUUAAGUGGGCAGUUUACUUGGGGCGAGGUCUGGCUAAAAAGUAACGCCAGAGAGCAGAAGGUAUGUUCAAUGUUGUCGGAAACAACAUGCAGAGCGUAAUAGUAUAAGCAUGCCUGAUUACAAGACCGACAAGUCGAGUAAAGACGAAAGUCUGCUAUAGUGACCCUCACACACUGAGUGGAAAGGUGUGAGAUCAACGAAUCAAAGCUACUCUAGGGAUAAGGACCUUAAAUAGCGACAAGUAAGCAUCUAUGUAAUGCAAUAAUGCUGUGAUUAG
rnacentral:rRNA from 1 species